GAUGAACGCUGGCGGCGUGCCUAAUACGUGCAAGUCGAGCGAACAGACGAGGAGCUUGCUCCUCUGACGUUAGCGGCGGACGGGUGAGUAACACGUGGAUAACCUACCUAUAAGACUGGGAUAACUUCGGGAAACCGGAGCUAAUACCGGAUAAUAUAUUGAACCGCAUGGUUCAAUAGUGAAAGACGGUUUUGCUGUCACUUAUAGAUGGAUCCGCGCCGCAUUAGCUAGUUGGUAAGGUAACGGCUUACCAAGGCGACGAUGCGUAGCCGACCUGAGAGGGUGAUCGGCCACGCUGGAACUGAGACACGGUCCAGACUCCUACGGGAGGCAGCAGUAGGGAAUCUUCCGCAAUGGGCGAAAGCCUGACGGAGCAACGCCGCGUGAGUGAUGAAGGUCUUCGGAUCGUAAAACUCUGUUAUUAGGGAAGAACAAAUGUGUAAGUAACUAUGCACGUCUUGACGGUACCUAAUCAGAAAGCCACGGCUAACUACGUG
rnacentral:rRNA from 1 species